UCCUCGGUAGCUCAGCGGUAGAGCAACCGGCUGUUAACCGGUUGGUCGUAGGUUCGAAUCCUACCCGGGGAGCCA
rnacentral:tRNA from 3 species